rnacentral:tRNA from 1 species
GGAACAGUACUCAAGUCGGUCGAAGAGGCGGUCCUGCUAAGACUGUAGGGGAGGCAACUCCCGCGGAGGUUCGAAUCCUCUCUGUUCCGCCA